rnacentral:rRNA from 1 species
GACGUAGGGGCGAGCGUUGUCCGGAUUUAUUGGGCGUAAAGAGCUCGUAGGCGGCUUGUCGCGUCGACUGUGAAAACCCGCGGCUCAACCGCGGGCCUGCAGCCGAUACGGGCAGGCUAGAGUUCGGUAGGGGAGACUGGAAUUCCUGGUGUAGCGGUGAAAUGCGCAGAUAUCAGGAGGAACACCGAUAGCGAAGGCAGCUUACCGUGGACUG